UGCUCCAACUCCUUGAUGAUAAAUGAUCAGUUUCUCCAUUGGUAGGAACUGAAUGGAAACACUCAAAACAGCACCUGGCUUACAAGGCUUUCCAUUGCUAUUAAGGAUGGGGUAGGUCCCUUGUACUUUUUCACCCGAGUAUAAUUGUUCGACCGGAAUCGCUACAGUACCAAUAAGCUGUGAACCUACCACAUCACUAUCCUUAACAACAAAAUGCACUUCAGAAGCAUGAUGUGCAACAGGAACAUGAAAGUGUUGCUCCCAAACAGGAUUUUCGCUAUUGCUAAUCACAAAAGUCCUACCAACUACAGCAUUUGAUAAAGAAAUAGACACAUAAGGAUCACUAGUAAUCUUCCUAGUCAUUGUUCCCUCAAUCUUAUUACCCACAUUACCAGGAAAUUUACCAAACACAUCCCCUAAAGUCUUAUGAAACAUAUCCAUAUUUGGAAGAUUCUUAGCACUAUGAACACAAAUAUCUAAAUUACCAUGCAAGAGCAAAUAUUUCAAUGACCCUUUAUACUGAGCUGGAACAAUCUGCAAACUCUGGCUAUGCACCGAUUCAUCAUUCGAACCGGGAUAAGCUGAAAGAUUGGGUGAACCCCCCAAACCAGAGUAAGAAUGUUCAUAACCUGAAAAAGAAUUACUACUAGAAUGACCAUAAAACUCCUCUUUUUUCCCUUCAUUUAAAGCUGAAUAGGAAUGUGUCAUUACUGGUGCACUUGGCUGAUUAUCAGAUAUCUGAACAUUGCUCAUAAGAUCAUUCAAAUGAGGGUAAGGAGAACUAGGAGGGUGUGAACCAUCACUAAUUGGAGGGGUAUUGUUGGUAAGGGGGGUAAGCAGAACUAUGAUGAGGGUUUGAACCAUCAUUGAUUGGAGGGUAUUGUUGGUAAGGGUAAGGAUAAACAUGAGAUGGUUGAGAAGUAGGUAACUCUAAAGGGUUUGGUUGAUAAGGGUGGAAGGAAUGUGAAGAAUUUGGUGGAUAUGAUUCAUAUGGAUAAGGAGAAGAUACUGGUGAAGGUGCAUAUGGAUCAUGAGAUGGAUUUGGAGGAGGGUAUGGAUAUGGAGGAUAUGCAUAAGGGUUUGGAUAUCCAUAUGGAGGUGCAGAACCAUGAUUGUCCAUGAAUCAAAACUCAAAAUUGAAUGAAUUCAAAGCUAUUCUUUCACACAAUUGAUUAUGCAAAACUAUUCAAAAUUUUACCUUUGUUGCAUAUGC
rnacentral:lncRNA from 1 species